rnacentral:rRNA from 1 species
UACGGAGGAUUCAAGCGUUAUCCGGAUUUAUUGGGUUUAAAGGGUGCGUAGGCGGUCGGAUAAGUUAGAGGUGAAAUCCCGGGGCUCAACUUCGGAAUUGCCUCUGUUACUGUUCGGCUAGAGAGUAGUUGCGGUAGGCGGAAUGUAUGGUGUAGCGGUGAAAUGCUUAGAGAUCAUACAGAACACCGAUUGCGAAGGCAGCUUACCAAGCUACUUCUGACGUUGAGGCACGAAAGCGUGGGGAGCAAACAGG